rnacentral:rRNA from 1 species
AUUGAACGCUGGCGGCAGACCUAACACAUGCAAGUCGAGCGGAGCGGCGGACGGGCGAGUGAUGCCUAGGUAUCUGCCUGGUAGUGGGGGCUAACGUCCGGAAGCGGGCGCUAAUACCGCAUACUAUCAGAUGAGACUAGGUCGGAUUAGCUAGUUGGAGGGGUAAAGGCCUACCAAGACGACGAUCCGUAGCUGGUCUGAGAGGAUGAUCAGUCACACUGGAACUGAGACACGGUCCAGACUCCUACGGGAGGCAGCAGUGGGGAAUAUUGGACAAUGGGCGAAAGCCUGAUCCAGCCAUGCCGCGUGUGUGAAGAAGGUCUUCGGAUUGUAAAGCACUUUAAGUUGGGAGGCGUUACCAACAGAAUAAGCACCGGCUAACUUCGUGCCAGCAGCCGCGGUAAUUC